rnacentral:rRNA from 1 species
AACGAACGCUGGCGGCAUGCCUAACACAUGCAAGUCGAACGAGACCUUCGGGUCUAGUGGCGCACGGGUGCGUAACGCGUGGGAACCUGCCCUUAGGUUCGGAAUAACUCCCCGAAAGGGGUGCUAAUACCGGAUAAUGUCUUCGGACCAAAGAUUUAUCGCCUUUGGAUGGGCCCGCGUUGGAUUAGCUAGUUGGUAGGGUAAAAGCCUACCAAGGCGACGAUCCAUAGCUGGUCUGAGAGGAUGAUCAGCCACACUGGGACUGAGACACGGCCCAGACUCCUACGGAAGGCAGCAGAGGGGAAUAUAGGACAAUGGGCGAAAGGCUGAUCCAGCAAUGCCGCGUGAGUGAUGAAGGCCUUAGGGUUGUAAAGCUCUUUUAACCGGGAUGAUAAUGACAGUACCGGGAGAAUAAGCACCGGCUAACUCCGUG